rnacentral:rRNA from 1 species
GACGAACGCUGGCGGCGUGCUUAACACAUGCAAGUCGAACGGAAAGGCCCUGCUUUUGUGGGGUGCUCGAGUGGCGAACGGGUGAGUAGCACGUGAGUAACCUGCCCUUGACUUUGGGAUAACUUCAGGAAACUGGGGCUAAUACCGGAUAUGAGCUCCUGCUGCAUGGUGGGGGUUGGAAAGUUUCGGCGGUUGGGGAUGGACUCGCGGCUUAUCAGCUUGUUGGUGGGGUAGUGGCUUACCCAGGCUUUGACGGGUAGCCGGCCUGGGAGGGUUACCGGGGACAUUGGGACUGAGAUACGGCGCAGACUCCUACGGGAGGCAGCGGUGGGGAAUAUUGCACAAUGGGCGGAAGCCUGAUGCAGCAACGCCGCGUGCGGGAUGACGGCCUUCGGGUUGUAAACCGAUUUGGCCUGUGACGAAGCGUGAGUGACGGUAAUGGGUAAAGAAGCACCGGCUAACUACGUG